rnacentral:rRNA from 1 species
UACGUAGGGAGCAAGCGUUGUUCGGAUUUACUGGGCGUAAAGGGCGCGUAGGCGGCCACCGCAAGUCGACUGUGAAAUCUCCGGGCUUAACCCGGAAAGGUCAGCCGAUACUGCGGGGCUAGAGUGCAGAAGGGGCAACUGGAAUUCUCGGUGUAGCGGUGAAAUGCGUAGAUAUCGAGAGGAACACCUGCGGCGAAGGCGGGUUGCUGGGCUGACACUGACGCUGGGGCGCGAAAGCUAGGGGAGCGAACGGG